rnacentral:rRNA from 1 species
UACUAGCGGUCCAAGUCGCAGCCAUUUUUAUUGGGUCUAAAACAUCCGUAGCUUGCUUAAUAAGUUUCUUGUGAAAUCUUAUGUCUCAAGCAUAAGGCGGGCAGGAAAUACUGUUAAGCUAGAGAUUGGGAGGCGUGAGAAGUACGUUCAAAGUAGCGGUAAAAUGUGUUAAUCUUGGACGGACUCACAACAGCGAAGGCAUCUCACGAGAACAAUUCUGACAGUAAGGGAUGAAGGCUAGGGGCGCAAAACGGAUUAGAUACCCCCGUA